AACGUAGGAGGCAAGCGUUAUCCGGAUUUACUGGGCGUAAAGCGUGCGCAGGCGGUGAUGUAAGACAGGUGUGAAAUCCCCGGGCUCAACCUGGGAACUGCAUUUGUGACUGCAUCGCUGGAGUGCGGCAGAGGGGGAUGGAAUUCCGCGUGUAGCAGUGAAAUGCGUAGAUAUGCGGAGGAACACCGAUGGCGAAGGCAAUCCCCUGGGCCUGCACUGACGCUCAUGCACGAAAGCGUGGGGAGCAAACAGG
rnacentral:rRNA from 1 species